rnacentral:rRNA from 1 species
AUUGGCACGGGGGGCCUACGGGAGGCAGCAGUAGGGAAUCUUCCGCAAUGGGCGAAAGCCUGACGGAGCAACGCCGCGUGAGUGAUGAAGGUCUUCGGAUCGUAAAACUCUGUUGUUAGAGAAGAACACGAGUGAGAGUAACUGUUCAUUCGAUGACGGUAUCUAACCAGCAAGUCACGGCUAACUACGUGCCAGCAGCCGCGGUAAUAAUC